rnacentral:rRNA from 1 species
ACGUAGGAGGCAAGCGUUAUCCGGAGUUACUGGGCGUAAAGGGCGUGCAGGCGGUUGGCUAAGUUCGUUGUGAAAGCGCCCGGCUCAACUGGGCGAGGCCGUGUGAGACUGAAAAACUGGAGAGAGGUAGAGGCGAAUGGAAUUCCGGGUGGAGUGGUGAAAUGCGUAGAGAUCCGGAGGAACACCAGUGGCGAAGGCGGCACCCUGGACGACACCAGACGCUGAGACGCGACAGCACGGGGAGCGAACGG